rnacentral:lncRNA from 1 species
ACACCGCUUUUAGAAGUCAAACCGAAGUGCCGCCGACAUAAGGACUCUCCCGCAGUCACCGCACCGGCCGCCCUCCGCGCUCGGCUCCACCGCCACCGGCCCCUCCGAGCCCCGCCGGACCCGCGCCGCCGACGGGACGGGCCGGGACGGGCCGGGACGGGCGGGAAGGCGGCGCCCGGCACCGCGGGCAGCUCCGGCCCNNNNNNNNNNNNNNNNNNNNNNNNNNNNNNNNNNNNNNNNNNNNNNNNNNNNNNNGCAGGCGGGCGGCGCAGCGGAGGGGCACCCAGCCCGGCCCGGCGGCUCCCGGGGCCCCGUCCGGAGUCGGCCGCCAAGUCGGCUUUUGGUCGCCCAAAGUUUCUGCCCCUUCCCGGCGCGCCGCUCUGGGGAGAGGCAACCGCAAAGUUACCGCUGCCGCGGGCGCCGCCCGCUAGCAGCGAAGUUCCUGCCUGCCAGCCCCGGGCGGGAAGGGAAGCCCCGGCCCUGCCCCUGCCCCCCAAGCCGGGGCGACCCCUUCCCCUCCCCGGCUCCCCGUCCGCCCCUCCGCCCUCACCUCAGCCCCGUCUCACCUCAGGCGCUGCCUCCUCCCCGCCGGGCCGGGCCGGGGUGGGCGCCGGGGCCUCCCGGCUCCAUCGAGGCGGCGCUGCAGGGGGCGGCACGGCACGGCGCUUCGCCCCGCUCCGGCCUCCCGGCUCCCUCCGGACCGCCUCGGUGCCCGGCUCCACGCCGCCGCCGCCCGCCAAAACGCCAAGCGCCGGGAGCGGAGCGCCGCCUGCCGCCGGGGGCACGGGACGCGGGGGCGGCCCCUUUGCUGGCGGCGGCGGGUGCAGAUGCCGCCGGCAGGCGGCUUCGCAGCGGGGCCCCCUGCCGCUGCCGGGGGCGCUCCCGCCGGCCGGCACCGCCUCCCCGCGCCGGGGCAGCCCUCCGGCCGGGCCGGGUCAGGCCGGCUGCGCGGUGGUGGGCGGGCGAGCUCCGGCCGCUGCGCGGGGCUCCGGGGCAGCCGUUAACGGCCGCCGCGGUGGGAGAAGGGCGGCAGCGCCCCGCUCCCAACGGCCUCUAGGGCGCGGGGCCCCUCACGCGCCCGCGCUGCCCUCCGCGGCACGGCGCGUAUCCCGCGGCUUACAGCUSCCUUUCGCGAGCAGCUGCCGUAAAUCAGUGCCCGCACUAAACACGAGCCUGAAUUUGAUACACUCUCAAAAGUGA